AGUCGAACGGAGUAGCAAUACUUAGUGGCAAACGGGUGCGUAACGCGUAAGCAACCUGCCCACAACCGGGGGAUAGCCUGGCGAAAGCCGGGGUAAACCCGCAUGGUUCCCCUGAGUUGCAUAGCUUAUGGGAUAAACAUUUAUGGGUUGUGGAGGGGCUUGCGUCUGAUUAGGUAGUUGGUGGGGUAGUGGCCCACCAAGCCGAUGAUCAGUAGGGGUUCUGAGAGGAUUGGCCCCCACAUGGGUACUGAGAUACGGACCCAACUCCUACGGGAGGCAGCAGUAGGGAAUAUUGGGCAAUGGGCGCAAGCCUGACCCAGCCAUGCCGCGUGCAGGACGAAGGCGCUCAGCGUCGUAAACUGCUUUUAUCUACGAAGAACUGUGUCCCUGCGGGGGUAUUUGACGGUAGUAGAGGAAUAAGCACCGGCUAACUCCGUGCCAGCAGCCGCGGUAAUACGGAGGGUGCGAGCGUUGUCCGGAUUUAUUGGGUUUAAAGGGUGCGUAGGUGGGUAGCGAAGUCUGGUUUGAAAGCAGGUGGCUCAACCAUCUGAUGUGGCUGGAAACUGGUUAUCUUGAAUGGGUUGGCGGUAGCCGGAACGGGUCAUGUAGCGGUGAAAUGCAUAGAUAUGACCCAGAACACCGAUUGCGAAGGCAGGCUACUACGACUUGAUUGACACUGAGGCACGAGAGCAUGG
rnacentral:rRNA from 1 species